CAGCCGCCACGGGAAUACAGAGGGUGCGAGCGUUAAUCGGAUUUACUGGGCGUAAAGCGUGCGUAGGCGGCUAAUUGAGUCGGAUGUGAAAUCCCCGAGCUUAACUUGGGAAUUGCAUUCGAUACUGGGAAGCUAGAGUAUGGGAGAGGAUGGUAGAAUUCCAGGUGUAGCGGUGAAAUGCGUAGAGAUCUGGAGGAAUACCGAUGGCGAAGGCAGCCAUCUGGCCUAAUACUGACGCUGAGGUACGAAAGCAUGGGGAGCAAACAGGAUUAGAUACCCCAGUAGUCCCUGUCUCUUAUAC
rnacentral:rRNA from 1 species